UUGUAUGGUGUGGUUAUUCACAGGCAAAUUGUUAUAUGCUAUGGAGGUACAUUUGUGUCUUUUUGUUGAGAGCAAAACCUUUUUUAUUUUUAAUCAAAAAUAAUUGUUCUGAAAGUAAGUUUUUUCCGACACAAAGAAAGUCAAAGCGGACACCUACAAAGAUGGCAUCUCAGGUAAGCAGCACUGGGCUGUAUUGACGUAUCCUAAAAAUGACAUCUGCUGCUUUAGAUUGAAUGGUCAUAUCUGUUAUUAUUUUCAUAUCUAUAAAAAAUAAGCUGUUUUCUUUACUUUCAGAGAGCGAGCUGACCAAGGGGUCGAAAAUGUAGAUAUUUCCAGAUGUUCCCGGCCCGAGGAACAGGCCGCGGAAGCUUUAUUGCUGGCAAAAGUGUCAAUAACCAGAGGUUAUAUCAGCUGUUUUGGUGAACCCCUCCCGUAUCUGAACUGGCUGACACGAGGGCACAGCAUGAUCAUAGGUAUGUUUUGAUGUGAGAGAGGAGGCCAGUCCCGUCAUCGCCACCUCACCCGCUCUUAAAUGUCCUUCGGGCCAAGGCUGGUUAGGAGACACUGCAAUUGUGAUGAACUGAGAGAAUAUUAGGGUAGCACUGUAAUUCAUGAGUCAUAUGCUGUCUGCCGCUGUUCUUACCUCGUUCCCUUUCUGUCUUCUACACCUCUCUCC
rnacentral:lncRNA from 1 species